rnacentral:rRNA from 1 species
AACGAACGCUGGCGGCAUGCCUAACACAUGCAAGUCGAACGAGACCUUCGGGUCUAGUGGCGCACGGGUGCGUAACGCGUGGGAACCUGCCUUUAGGUUCGGAAUAACUCAGAGAAAUUUGAGCUAAUACCGGAUGAUGUCUUCGGACCAAAGAUUUAUCGCCUUUAGAUGGGCCCGCGUUGGAUUAGCUAGUUGGUGGGGUAAAGGCCUACCAAGGCGACGAUCCAUAGCUGGUCUGAGAGGAUGAUCAGCCACACUGGGACUGAGACACGGCCCAGACUCCUACGGGAGGCAGCAGUGGGGAAUAUUGGACAAUGGGCGAAAGCCUGAUCCAGCAAUGCCGCGUGAGUGAUGAAGGCCUUAGGGUUGUGAAGCUCUUUUACCCGAGAUGAUAAUGACAGUAUCGGGAGAAUAAGCUCCGGCUAACUCCGUG